rnacentral:rRNA from 1 species
CCUACGGGCGGCAGCAGUAGGGAAUCUUCCACAAUGGACGAAAGUCUGAUGGAGCCACGCCGCGUGAGUGAAGAAGGGCUUCGGCUUGUAAAGCUCUGUUGGUAGUGAAGUAAGGUUGAGUUUGUAACUUGCUUUUAUUUUACGGUAUUUAUUUGGAACGUCUCGGCUAACUACAUGCCAGCAGCUGCGGUAAUACGUAGGUGGCAAGUGUUGUCCGGUUUUAUUGGGCGUAAAGCGAGUGCAGGCGGUUCAAUAAGUCUGAUGUGAAAGCUUUCGGCUCAACCGGAGAAUUGCAUCAGAUACUGGUGAACUUGAGUGCAGAAGAGGUAGGUGGAACUCCAGGUGUAGCGGUGGAAUGCGUAGAUAUAUGGAAGAACACCAGUGGCGAAGGCGGCUUUCUGGUCUGCAACUGACGCUGAGGCUCGAAAGCGUGGGUAGCGAACAGGAUUAGAUACCCGAGUAGUC